GUAUUCACAGUAAUGACUGAGCCAAAGAGGAAUUUUCCAUCAUAUCACUGACUCACUAUUUGCAUUAUAUUUGCAUGUUUGGAUAUAAUUUGCAUUCAAGUGUGCUGGUGGAAAGUUAUCAUUUCGGCUGGAAGUCCAUUUGUGAAAUAUUUUGCAAUUUAGCUUUUUUUUUUUUUUUUUUUUUUUUUUUUCUAAAAGUCUGAGAUACAAGAAAGUAGAUCCUGAACUGAGAUUUGUGUGUCUAUUUUAAUUUCUUUUGUCAACAGUGUGAUGACAGGCAGGGUAAAGUCCCAGACACAUGCGGACUGCGGACCUGAGGCUUACAGUAAAGGAUAUGCAGCAAUGCAGCUACCAGUCUCACGUCAAACAUUCCAGAGGUUACAGCGAAAAGAGAAUCUUCAUGGACCCGUUAGGUCCAGCUCAGCAUGACAAAGACGCUAACCAUCUCAGAAGACUUGAAAUUCAUCACGUCAUUGACAGGACGUUUAAGAAACACACUCAUCUCUAAGUCUUCUCUCACAGCUGUUCUACAUUCUCCCCCAAUCAAGCUCACCUGGUCCUCAUCAUUUUCCAUCCUUUCCUCUACAAGCACUCUGGUUUUCAUUGUUAGAGGCUGGAUCCUUCACCUGCAAGUUUAUCUUUUAUCCUUGCUGUUAGGCUUCUGUCUGCAGUUUUUGUAGACAACUUACUAAUGCUGCAAAUUUACCAAAGUGAGCUAAAACUAUGUUAUUAUACCUCAUUAUGGUAAGAAACUUAUGUCUGAACAUGCCAAUUCAGGAAGUGUGAUGAAAAUGCACCUGUUUUUUUCCAAAGUGUGAAAUCUUUCUAUUAAAAUGUCUCAUUUAUCAGACAUACUAUCAUUACAACAUCCUAUCUUAAUUGCUCUUCCCUGUUCCAGCUAAUUUAAUGGGGCAUAGAGACACUGCUAUUUUUUUUCUUUCUUUUUCAGGGAAUGUAUUUGUCAAUGAUUUUACAAACACUUAAGAAUUACCAAGAAACUCACAGAAGAACAAAAUGGUCUUUGUUUGUUUAUUUUGUAGCAGUGCCCAAGUGGUUGGCAGUACUUGCUAGAUUUUAAAUUGCCUGAACCGCAGGGGACUUGAUGAAGAGACCCUUGCAACAGCUCAUCCUUGAGUAGUGUCCAGUAUUUCCACUAUUGGUCCCAGACGUCAAGGGAUGGACUUCUCAGUAGAUUUAUCAGCAACUUUACUUUCACUUAAUAUUUUUGUCUUAACUCUCAUAUUCACAUUCACUGGACAAUUUCAGUAAACAUUUAAUUACAAUGCUAAUGCUGGAAAUGUCACUAAUGAUAUCAUUUAUGAUUAACAGUCAUUUUCCAAACUGCUCGUUCUUUACCAUCACUGAACUUGCCCUCCGCUCCGUUAGCGGUCUAGCAUCUCAGGCAUUUAAGAAAUACCCAUGUUGUGGGCAUUAAGAGAGCUGGGGAUUCAUUUAAUUGGCCAGAUGGAUUGCAGUUGUGCAGAGCAUGACACAUAACAUACUAUAUCCUACCAAGAUUUGCUGUCUUUCAAUACUGCACACUGAUAUUGCAAUCAUGAUUGUGAUUUUAUAUAUACUAUCCAUCUCUAAUUUACAUGUUUUACUUUAAGUAGGAUUGUGACUUACUAUAAGUUGUGAUUUAUCCAAUAAUUUCCAAUAAUUUGAGGGAUUUUCUGCACACACAAAGCACACCAAUUGAGCUCUUGCCAACUCAAAGAAACUGGCAUCUUCUUCUGAAAAUUACA